UUGAUUCAAAUCAUGGAUUCAGACAUAAGACGGAUUCCUGCAUGAAGACGGCGCCGGAGCGCCGAAGCACGGGUCGCUUCCACUGGUUUGAGCGUCGAGGGCGCGUGGCGCCGUUCGAUAAUGAUCCCUCCGCAGGUUCACCUACGGAGA
rnacentral:misc_RNA from 1 species